GUGGCAGUAGUUUAAUGGCAGAAUACCGGGCUGUGGAUCCGGUGGAGGGGGUUCGAUUCCCCCUUGCCACC
rnacentral:tRNA from 1 species